CUUUCUACCACCAAAGUGUCCGCCUGAGAACUACGAGCACAAACGCUUAAAACUCUAAGGACUUGGCGGUGCCCCAAACCCACCUAGAGGAGCCUGUUCUAUAAUCGAUAACCCACGAUGCACCCAACCACUCCUUGCCAAAACAGCCUAUAUACCGCCGUCGCCAGCCCACCUCCCCUGAGAGCCUAACAGUGGGCCUAAUAGCCCUCCGCUAGCAAGACAGGUCAAGGUAUAGCCUAUGGAGUGGAAGAAAUGGGCUACAUUUUCUAAGAUAGAUACUUUCACGAAAGGGGACAUGAAACUCGUCCCUAGAAGGCGGAUUUAGCAGUAAAGCGGGAUAAUAAAGCCCUCUU
rnacentral:rRNA from 1 species